rnacentral:rRNA from 1 species
CGUAGUAAUUCUAGAGCUAAUACGUGCGGAAAUCCCGACUUCCUGGAAGGGACGUAUUUAUUAGAUAAAAGGCCGACCGGACUUGUCCGACUCGCGGUGAAUCAUGAUAACUCCACGAAUCGCAUGGCCCAGCGCCGGCGAUGUUUCAUUCAAAUUUCUGCCCUAUCAACUUUCGACGGUAAGGUAUUGGCUUACCGUGGUGGUAACGGGUGACGGAGGAUUAGGGUUCGAUCCCGGAGAGGGAGCCUGAGAAACGGCUACCACAUCCAAGGAAGGCAGCAGGCGCGCAAAUUACCCAAUCCUGACACAAGGAGGUAGUGACAAUAAAUAACAAUACCGGGGUUUUUCAACUCUGGUAAUUGGAAUGAGUACAAUCUAAACCCCUUAACGAGGAUCAAUUGGAGGGCAAGUCUGGUGCCAGCAGCCGCGGUAAUUCCAGCUCCAAUAGCGUAUAUUUAAGUUGUUGCAGUUAAAAAGCUCGUAGUUGGAUUUCGGGCGGGCCCGGCCGGUCCGCCUCACGGUGUGCACUGACCGGGCCCGUCCUGCUGCCGGGGACGGGCUCCUGGGCUUCGCUGUCCGGGACUCGGAGUCGGCGAGGUUACUUUGAGUAAAUUGGAGUGUUCAAAGCAGGCAUCCGCCUUGAAUACGUUAGCAUGGAAUAACACGAUAGGACUCUGGCCUAUCUUGUUGGUCUGUGGGACCGGAGUAAUGA